rnacentral:rRNA from 1 species
CCUACGGGUGGCAGCAGUGAGGAAUAUUGGUCAAUGGACGAGAGUCUGAACCAGCCAAGUAGCGUGAAGGAUGACUGCCCUAUGGGUUGUAAACUUCUUUUAUAAAGGAAUAAAACGAGGCACGUGUGCCUUUUUGCAUAUACUUUAUGAAUAAGGAUCGGCUAACUCCGUGCCAGCAGCCGCGGUAAGACGGAGGAUCCGAGCGUUAUCCGGGUUUAUUGGGUUUAAAGGGAGCGUAGGUGGGUUGUUAAGUCAGGUGUGAAAGUUUGCGGCUCAACCGUAAAAUUGCAAUUGAAACUGGCGGUCUUGAGUGGAGUUGAGGUAGGCGGAAUUCGUGGUGUAGCGGUGAAAUGCUUAGAUAUCACGAAGAACCCCGAUUGCGAAGGCAGCUUACUAAACUGUGACUGACAUUGAUGCACGAAAGUGUGGGUAUCGAACAGGAUUAGAUACCCUGGUAGUC